rnacentral:sRNA from 1 species
GUUCUUUCUCUGUUUAU